UACGAAGGGGGCUAGCGUUGUUCGGAAUUACUGGGCGUAAAGGGCGCGUAGGCUGCCCUCCUAGUCGCGUGUGAAAGCCCCGGGCUCGACCUGGGAACGGCGCGCGAAACGGGGGGGCUGGAGUUCGGGAGAGGAGCGUGGAAUUCCCAGUGUAGAGGUGAAAUUCGUAGAUAUUGGGAAGAACACCGGUGGCGAAGGCGGCGCUCUGGACCGAGACUGACGCUGAGGCGCGAAAGCUAGGGGAGCAAACGGG
rnacentral:rRNA from 1 species